rnacentral:rRNA from 1 species
UAUGGAGAGUUUGAUCCUGGCUCAGAACUAACGCUGGCGGCGUGUCUUAGUCAUGCAAGUCGAACGAGAAAGCGUUCUUCGGAACGUGAGUACAGUGGCGGACGGGUGAGUAACACGUGGGGAACCUGCCCUCAAGCUGGGAACAACCCGCCUAACGGCGGGCUAAUACCGAAUGUGGUUGUCAGUCCGCAUGGUAUGACAACUAAAGGUGGCCUCUCCUUGGAAGCUACCGCUUGUGGAUGGCCCCGCGCUCAAUUAGCUAGUUGGUAGGGUAACGGCCUACCAAGGCGACGAUUGAUAGCCGACCUGAGAGGGUGAUCGGCCACACUGGGAUUGAGAUAAGGCCCAGUCUCCUACGGGAGCCAGCAGUCUAGAAAUUUGGGCAAUGGGCGAAAGCCUGACCCAGCGACGCCGCGUGGGGGAUGAAGCUUCUCGGAGUGUAAACCCCUGUUAGGUGGGACGAAAGCCCGUAUACGAAUAGUAGGCGGGUUUGACGGUACCACCAGAGGAAGCUCCGGCUAACUCCGUGCCAGCAGCCGCGGUAAUACGGGGGGAGCAAGCGUUGUUCGGAGUUAUUGGGCGUAAAGGGCGUACAGGCGGUGGUGUCAGUCAGAUGUGAAAUCCCCCGGCUCAACCGGGGACCUGCAUUUGAUACUGCAUCACUUGAGUACAGGAGAGGAGAGCGGAAUUUUCGGUGUAGCGGUGGAAUGUGUAGAUAUCGAAAAGAACACCAGUGGCGAAGGCGGCUCUCUGGCCUGAUACUGACGCUGACGCGCGAAAGCUAGGGGAGCAAACAGGAUUAGAUACCCUGGUAGUCCUAGCCGUAAACGUUGGGCACUAGGUGUUGGAGGUAUCGACCCCUUCAGUGCCGAAGCUAACGCAUUAAGUGCCCCGCCUGGGGAGUACGGCCGCAAGGCUGAAACUCAA